rnacentral:sRNA from 1 species
GCUGGGUGUGGUGGUGCAUACCUGUAAUCCCAGUGGCUAGGGAGGCCAAGGCAGGAAGAUCGCAUGUUCAAAGCCAACCUCAGCAAAAGUGAGGUGCUAAGCAACUCAGUGAGACCCUGUCUCUA